AGAGUUUGAUCCUGGCUCAGAUUGAACGCUGGCGGCAGGCCUAACACAUGCAAGUCGAACGCUGUAGCAAUACAGAGUGGCAGACGGGUGAGUAACGCGUGGGAACCUUCCCAGUGGUGCGGAAUAGCUCAGGGGAAACUUGAGGUAAUACCGCAUAAGCCCUUAGGGGGAAAGAUUUAUCGCCAUUGGAUGGGCCCGCGUCGGAUUAGCUAGUUGGUGAGGUAAUGGCUCACCAAGGCAACGAUCCGUAGCUGGUUUGAGAGAAUGACCAGCCACACUGGGACUGAGACACGGCCCAGACUCCUACGGGAGGCAGCAGUGGGGAAUCUUGGACAAUGGGCGCAAGCCUGAUCCAGCCAUGCCGCGUGAGUGACGAAGGCCUUAGGGUUGUAAAGCUCUUUUGCCGGGGACGAUAAUGACGGUACCCGGAGAAUAAGUCCCGGCUAACUUCGUGCCAGCAGCCGCGGUAAUAUCAAGGGGACUAGCGUUGUUCGGAAUUACUGGGNCGUAAAGCGCACGUAGGCGGAUUUGUUAGUCAGGGGUGAAAUCCCGGGGGCUCAACCUCNGAACUGCCUUUGAUACUGCAAGUCUCGAGUCCGAUAGAGGUGGGUGGAAUUCCCGGUGNUAGCGGUGAAAUGCGUAGAUAUCGGGGAGGNACACCU
rnacentral:rRNA from 1 species